UACGUAGGGGGCAAGCGUUGUCCGGAAUCAUUGGGCGUAAAGAGCGCGUAGGCGGUCCGGUAAGUCGGUUGUGAAAACUGGGGGCUCAACCCUCAGAGGCCGACCGAUACUGUCGGGCUAGAGUCCGGAAGAGGCGAGUGGAAUUCCUGGUGUAGCGGUGAAAUGCGCAGAUAUCAGGAGGAACACCAAUAGCGAAGGCAGCUCGCUGGGGACGUUACUGACACUAAGGCGCGAAAGCGUGGGGAGCGAACAGGG
rnacentral:rRNA from 1 species